AUUGAACGCUGGCGGCAGGCCUAACACAUGCAAGUCGAACGGUAACAGGAAGCAGCUUGCUGCUUCGCUGACGAGUGGCGGACAGGUGAGUAAUGUCUGGGAAACUGCCUGAUGGAGGGGGAUAACUACUGGAAACGGUAGCUAAUACCGCAUAACGUCGCAAGACCAAAGAGGGGGACCUUAGGGCCUCUUGCCAUCGGAUGUGCCCAGAUGGGAUUAGCUAGUAGGUGGGGUAACGGCUCACCUAGGCGACGAUCCCUAGCUGGUCUGAGAGGAUGACCAGCCACACUGGAACUGAGACACGGUCCAGACUCCUACGGGAGGCAGCAGUGGGGAAUAUUGCACAAUGGGCGCAAGCCUGAUGCAGCCAUGCCGCGUGUAUGAAGAAGGCCUUCGGGUUGUAAAGUACUUUCAGCGGGGAGGAAGGGAGUAAAGUUAAUACCUUUGCUCAUUGACGUUACCCGCAGAAGAAGCACCGGCUAACUCCGUG
rnacentral:rRNA from 1 species